rnacentral:lncRNA from 1 species
GCUCACCAUACCAGGUAUCAGGAAUUAUUUUAGAGUGAAAGUAAUUGUAAUUAAGACAAUUUACUGCCAAUGCAGGAAAAACCAAAAGAACAAUGGAAAAGAAUUGAGAGUAUCCAAACAGAUCCAUGCAUAUAAAGCAGAAAUAGCCAUUACAAAUCGAUGGGGGGAAAUAUAGCAGGGUCACUUGUUCACAUGGGAAAAAGACAUUAGAAGCCCAUUUCCCAUUAUACAUAACAAUAUAUAUCAGUUUGAUUAAGGUCCUAAACAAGUAAAAGCAAAAUUUAAAAACUUUUAGAAGAAAAUAUAGAAGAAAAUCUUUAUAAUCUCUGCAUAGAGAACUGUUUUAAAAAGACAUAAAAAGCAGAAGUCAUAAAGAAAAAGACUGAUAAAUCUGACUAUUUUAAAAUCAAAACUUUUGCAAGACAAAAAGACACCACAAAUAAAAUUUUAAAAUAAGCCACAGACUGGGAGAAAAUAUUUGCAAUGCAUAUAGCUAGCAAAGAAUUAGUAUCUAGAGUAUAUAAUGAACACAAAAAGCUAUAAGAAAAAUGAUUCAAUAGAACAACAAAGGACACAAACAGGCAAAUCAUCAAUGGUCAAUAAACAUACAAAAAGAUGCUGAAUAACACUAGAAAACAGAUGUAAUACAAAAAUGACACUUAAUACCCAUCAAGCUGGCAAAAGUUAAUGUGUGACUGUGAGGUGAGGAUGUGGGGAAAUGGGGAACUCACACACACUGCUGGGGGAGUGAAAAUUGGUCCAACCACUGUGGAAAACAAUUUGGCAAGAUCCAGUUAAACUUGAAAAUGCAUAUAACAUACAACUCAGUAAUUCCACUAAGUAUACAUGCCAAACAAACUCUGUACAUUUGCAAAAACAGAUAUUAGGAUAUUAAUUUCAGCACUGAUAAUAAUGAAAAAUUGGAAACAACCUAAAUAUCCAACUGCAGGAGAAUGGAUAAGUAGUUGUGGUAUAUGCCACAGUUAUAAUGAAUGAACUAAAUGAACACAUAUCUGUAGGAAUAAACCUGAAAAGCAGACUUCUGAAUGAAAAAAAUUACAGAAGGAUACAGGUAAUAUUUAUGUAAAUUAUAAACACAUAAUAAGCACUACUAUGUAUCAUUUGUGGAUACAAAUGAAAUGAACAUCUAAAACCAAGAAAGGGAAGAUGCACAUCAGCUUCAGGAUAUUUAGAUAUGUCUGGGAAAGAAGAGUGGGGAACGGUAUACACGAGGAUGUUUCAACUGUUUCUGAAAUAUUUUUGAAUAAAAACCUGAAAAACAAGCAAAAUUUUCGUAUCUGUUUAAUCUGUGGGUGAUAUUUACAUGGGUGUUUAUAUUCUCUGAAUGCUUGAAAUAUUUUAUCAUUAAAACAAAAAUGUAUAAUCUCAAAAUAUUAAAACAAUUAUAACUAAAAACACAAGAGGGUCUCAUU